rnacentral:rRNA from 1 species
CAUGCAGUCGAGCGAACAGAUAAGGAGCUUGCUCCUUUGACGUUAGCGGCGGACGGGUGAGUAACACGUGGGUAACCUACCUAUAAGACUGGAAUAACUCCGGGAAACCGGGGCUAAUGCCGGAUAACAUUUAGAACCGCAUGGUUCUAAAGUGAAAGAUGGUUUUGCUAUCACUUAUAGAUGGACCCGCGCCGUAUUAGCUAGUUGGUAAGGUAACGGCUUACCAAGGCAACGAUACGUAGCCGACCUGAGAGGGUGAUCGGCCACACUGGAACUGAGACACGGUCCAGACUCCUACGGGAGGCAGCAGUAGGGAAUCUUCCGCAAUGGGCGAAAGCCUGACGGAGCAACGCCGCGUGAGUGAUGAAGGGUUUCGGCUCGUAAAACUCUGUUAUUAGGGAAGAACAAACGUGUAAGUAACUGUGCACGUCUUGACGGUACCUAAUCAGAAAGCCACGGCUAACUACGUGCCA